CAAUAGCGUAUAUUAAAGUUGUUGCAGUUAAAAAGCUCGUAGUUGGAUUUCUGGUGGGAGCGAUCGGUCUGGCGCUUAGCGCGAGUACUUGCAUCGUCUCCGGCCAUCCUUGGGGAGAGUCUGUCUGGCAUUAGGUUGUCGGGCAGAGGAUCCUCAUCGUUUACUGUGAAAAAAUUAGAGUGUUCAAAGCAGGCUUAUGCCGUUGAAUAUAUUAGCAUGGAAUAAUAAGAUAGGACUUUGGUACUAUUUUGUUGGUUUGCGCACCAAAGUAAUGAUUAAUAGGGACAGUUGGGGGUAUUCGUAUUCCGUUGUCAGAGGUGAAAUUCUUGGAUUUACGGAAGACGAACUUCUGCGAAAGCAUUUGCCAAGGAUGUUUUCAUUA
rnacentral:rRNA from 1 species